rnacentral:misc_RNA from 1 species
AAUGUUGACAAAAAAGGAAAAGUAAGCUGUUAUUAUUUUUAUUUCUAAAAUUUUGAGAGUUCAUCAGGAAGAUUUUCCAGAACUAUUACAAAGUAUAUGCUGCAUGCAUGAGAAAAGACGCUUCUUUAUUUCAUGAAAUAUAUAAUUCAAGUCUCUGGUGUUUUGUCUGCAGUGGGUCGGGGAUACAUAACUAAGUAUGUCAUUUCUUAAAGACAAAAACAUUUUAACUUCUACAGGUAUCAUUCUAGUCCAUGACCUGACGAACAGAAAAUCACAUAAUAAUUUACGAAAAUGGUUACAAGAGGUCCUAAACCGUGGCAACCCCAAGGACAACAAUGGAACUGUCACAACGUUAAACAUAUGUCACCAGGUUCAACAAAUGCCGUUAAAUAUCACAAUUCUUUGACAAGAACAACACCGUACCCAGACAGAAUGGGAAGAUGGCUUUACAUUUAAGAUGUUCCUGUUCCAGUUUGUCAACUACUAUUCCUCCAUCUUCUAUAUUGCAUUCUUCAAGGACAAAAAACUGAUGAUAUGGUUUAAGUCUCGGUCAGUGACUAAGGACCCGAACGAGGAGAAAGUGUACUCGAGGUGGGAACAGGACUUUCAUCAGGCCGACAUACCCAACAUUGGACUAUAUGAUGAAGAUCUUGAAUGAUCCAGUAUGGAUUUGUCACCAUUUUCGUGGCUGUUUUCCAUUAGCUCCUUUGUUUGCUCUUAUCAACAACAUCUUUGAGAUCCGAUUGGAUGCUUA